UACGGAGGAUCCAAGCGUUAUCCGGAUUUAUUGGGUUUAAAGGGUGCGUAGGCGGACUGAUAAGUCAGUGGUGAAAGUUUGCAGCUCAACUGUAAAAUUGCCAUUGAAACUGCUAGUCUUGAGUGUAAAUGAGGUAGGCGGAAUGUGUUGUGUAGCGGUGAAAUGCUUAGAUAUAACACAGAACACCAAUUGCGAAGGCAGCUUACUGGGAUACAACUGACGCUGAGGCACGAAAGCGUGGGGAUCAAAC
rnacentral:rRNA from 1 species